AAAAAAAUGGAGAAGCAAAAGGGACAUGUUCUUGUGCUCUUAUAUCCUGCACAAGGUCAUAUUAAUACGCUCCUUCAGAUUGCAAAUGCUUGGCCUCCAUAGAGCUGAAGGCUAGUUUUGCUACCACCCGUUACACCGUCAACUCCAUCAACGCACAUGGAAUUGAUGUUCUGCCCAUUUCUGAUGGCGUUGACGAAGGUGGCUUCAAACAAGCUCCGAGUCUUGAAGCUACUUGGAAUCAUUCAGAAUAAUAGGCUCCAAGACAUUAAUUGAGCUAAUCCAGAGUCCGGAGGCCUCAACUUUACCAAUUCGUUGUCUUAUAUACGACUCCUUGCUUCCUUGGGGACUUGAAGUGGCCAAAAGCUUAGGCAUUCUUUCAGUUGUGUUCUUGACAAACUCGAUUUGCAAUAGCUCGAUUUACAGGCAAAUUCAUCUAGAGCUUCUUCCUUUACCUGUAAAGCCAGAAAGCGUGCCCGUUUUGUUGUCUGGUCUUCCUCCUCUUGGCAUAUGCCUAGUUUUCUUAUGGAGCCUCCAAAUAUCUACUUGACAGCAAUCAUGGAGAUGUUUGCUUCCCUUGAUCAGAACAGUUUCGUUCUUGCCAACACACUUUAGAAGCUUGAAGAUGAGGUAGCAAAGGCGCCAUUUCUGGCCUUUGGCAGUGUGGAUGGUUGGUCCAAUUAUCCCAUCACACUACCUAGAUGAACAGAUCAAGACAGACACAGAAUAUGGAGGCAACCUAUGGAAAGCAAGGGGCAGUAUCUGCACAAAAUGGCUCGAUGGUAUGCCGCCCGAGUCGAGCGCUUACGUUUCAUUUAGAAGCAUGGCAAGAAUUUCAGCCGACUAGGUUGAACAAGUUGCUUAUGGCCUAAUAGAGACGAAACUCAGCUUUCUUUGGGUUGUCAAGGAGCACGAAAACAAGACCCUCCCAAGUGAAUUCCUAAACUGCCUAAAAACUCUUGUGGGCAUAAUAGUGCCAUGGUGCAACCGAGUAGACGUUAUAGCCAACCGGGCAGUGGCCUGCUUCUUGACACACUGUGGGUGGAACUCAACUCCGGAGGCACUUAGCCUCGGUGUGCCGGUUGUGGCAGUGCUGCAAUGGAGCGAUCAAUCGAUGAACGCAAAGUUCAUCGAGGAGGUUUGGAAGGUGGGAGUGAUAGCCAAGAAAGAUGGAGGAGAGAUUGUGAGGAAAGAAGAGGUGAAGAGGUGUGUUGGAGAGGUGAU